rnacentral:rRNA from 1 species
AUACGGGAGGCAGCAGUGGGGAAUUUUGCGCAAUGGGGGAAACCCUGACGCAGCAACGCCGCGUGAGUGAUGAAGGCCUUCGGGUCGUAAAGCUCUGUCAGAGGGAAAGAAGUGUAAUAAUGCUAAUAUCAUUAUUACUUGACGGUACCCUCAAAGGAAGCACCGGCUAACUCCGUGCCAGCAGCCGCGGUAAUACGGAGGGUGCGAGCGUUGUUCGGAAUUAUUGGGCGUAAAGCGCGUGUAGGCGGUUUGGUAAGUCUGAUGUGAAAGCCCCGGGCUCAACCUGGGAAGUGCAUUGGAAACUGUCAGACUUGAAUACGGGAGAGGGUAGUGGAAUUCCUAGUGUAGGAGUGAAAUCCGUAGAUAUUAGGAGGAACACCGGUGGCGAAGGCGGCUACCUGGACCGAUAUUGACGCUGAAACGCGAAAGCGUGGGGAGCAAACAGGAUUAGAUACCCCGGUAA